rnacentral:lncRNA from 1 species
UUCCAAUCAUCUCUAUAUCUUUGUUCCGUGCUAUUCUUAUUACUUUUUGUAGUGAUAAAUUGAGUGGAUGUAUUGUAAGUAUUGACUUCUUCAAUUGUUCUUAUAUUUGUGUUAAUUCACUUUUUAUUUCAAGAAUCUUUAUUAUAAUAAGACUUAAAGAAGGAUAGAUGUCUAAUAUUGCUCAAGAUAAAUUAAAAAGAAGGCUUGAAAAUAAAAAAAAAAAAUACUAAGAAUAAUAUCAAUUUAUAAGAAGAUAAUCCGUAACUUCUAAUAUGCUUAAGUUUUAUCAAGAGAAAGGGAUAAU